UCCCUGGAAGUCCAGUGGUUAAGACUCUGUGCUCCUAAUGCAGGGGGCACAGGUUUGAUCCCUGGCCAGGGAA
rnacentral:tRNA from 1 species